CAGAAGGACGGGACAACUAACAAGAGAGAUGGUCUCUAAUAACAGAGGCGACGGACACAGCAGCAGUGUUGGAACUGAGCGGGGAGGGCAAGUAUGAAGAGUGUCAGCAGAUUUUCUCCAGCACAGAGUUCAUGGAGAGUUGAAGAGUUCACAGAACUAGGGAGCAAAAGAGCGCUACAGAGGGCAAAGUGGAGAAGGUGUGAAACCAUUAACCCAUCAGUUCACUCUUCCAACUGUCAGUCAACCUGAAUGAGGAGCAGUCACUGACAGCUCUGCAGCUGGUUCCUCUCCAAUGACAAGUUGAGCCUGUUCCUUGAAAGGAAAUAAAAAACCAUGACCUCAUUCUGUUUCCUGUGCGAUUUAAUAAAGGCGAUUUUACGCUGCCAAAUGUGGAAAAGAUGCCCUUCAUUAGAACAAUGCGUACUCUGCGUGUCCAUACUUUAAUCCAAUCUAGUUUAGCAUGAUAAAGGGCAUUACUGCCAGACAGCGCAACUGCCCACCCACUCAUGAUGUGUGCCUGUAUUUGCAGACAGCGACAUAAAGAGAAUAUAGCACCCCAAGGGGUUCAUGGGUAGAUAAUGCACCAACCCAACAUUCAGGGUCAGGAGUACUGGAGGUUUAUUCUACCAUACUCAAACUACGUCACAUCUAUUGACAUUUAAAUUUGUCAUACACAAGGCUAGUGUCAGACCACUGAGGUAAGUGCGUUAAGUCCGGCCCUUGAUGUAAGCAGCACAAAAGAUCAGAUCUACAACAGAAAAAUGGGCUUGGUUUCUUUCUCUGAUCAAUAAGUAUUAAUCUGUGUCAUGUUUAUAAUAUGUGUGAAAGCAAAAUGAAAAUAUACUUUGGAGUGCAAAGCUUUAAUACUUGGAAUACAUCCAUGAAAAAGUGCCAUGUGUAUUCUUAUAUCACAAAACAAGGCAGGAACAUUUUAUUUCUCAAGUUUGAUAGACCAAGAUAAACACAAAACAUACCAUGUCUAUCUAAUGGAAGGAUCUUUUCUUUACAUCUAAAUGAACAAAGAUGCCUUGCUUGAAGGAAAAAUGGCCUCCGGUUGACUGCAAACGGUCAUUAAUUAGCUCUGUUAAACUGUUAUUUGAAUUAAAGAUAGAGUGAAAAUUUUUAUGAGCCAGAUUUCAUUAGUGUCUCAAAAGAGCUCCAAGCUGCUUUUUUGUGUUUGAGAAAGAAAAGAAGAGAGCUUCUCCUUAACCUGAUAAAUGGUUCAGGUACUGAAUUAGCAGACCAUCUUUAAUGCACUUGUCAGGCUGCAAAAUGCAAAGAGAUUUCAAGAUGAGCGAGGAAUCUAUUUUUGUGGCACUCCAUUCAGAUGAGUGUUAGCUGCCGAGAGCUGUCAUUGACUUAAAAGGACGCCAAAACGGGUUUGCUUUGUGUAUGUGUCUACACAUGUGUUAACAGUGACUCAUUCUGAAUCACACUUUGAAACAUUGCCACUUCAUUUUCAGGUUUGUAUGUGAAUGAAGAAGUGUGUCAACAUGCUUGUGUGUUCAUACAGGCGGUGGAGAUCUGAAACACUCCUGCACUCAGGAACAAAACAAGUGCCUAAAGAAGUGACAGUCAGGCUGAAUAGAGUCAAGCAAAUCCUCAGACAAGAGGACAUGAAUUGAUGUGCUUUCCACGUUGUCAGGUUGGGCUGAGGACCAACUGAGACAGAUGGGGAGGAAACCAUCAUACUAGACAGGGGACACCGGCAUACUAGCACCUCCAUUACAUCUUUAACAGGUGCUGAACAAAAAGUUAGAGCAUAGUGUUAGAUAUAAAAAAGCCUGCAUUUUCAUGUGAUCAGAUACAGUUUUCAGAUUAAACUCUUCUGAUGCAUGCCCUGUAGAUGUGCUAUUAUUCCACAUGGCUGGCUAUUCUGCCCUUACUCCCCU